AGGUUACUGCUAUCGAGGUUCGACUAAGCCAUGCGAGUCGAAUGUAGCAAUACAUGGCGUACUGCUCAGUAACACGUGGACAACCUACCCUUAGGACGGGGAUAAACCCGGGAAACUGGGUAUAAUACCCGAUAGUCCUCGAAGGCUGGAAUGCAUCGAGAACCAAAGCUUUUGCACCUAAGGAUGGGUCUGCGGCCUAUCAGGUAGUAGUGGGUGUAGCGUACCUACUAGCCUACGACGGGUACGGGUUGUGAGAGCAAGAGCCCGGAGAUGGAUUCUGAGACACGAAUCCAGGCCCUACGGGGUGCAGCAGGCGCGAAAACUUUACAAUGCCGGCAACGGCGAUAAGGGGACCUCGAGUGCCAGGUUACAAAUCUGGCUGUCGUGAUGCCUAAAAAGCAUUGCAUAGCAAGGGCCGGGCAAGACCGGUGCCAGCCGCCGCGGUAACACCGGCGGCUCGAGUGGUAACCGUUAUUAUUGGGUCUAAAGGGUCUGUAGCCGGCCGGAUAAGUCUCUUGGGAAAUCCAGCAGCUCAACUGUUGGGCUUUCAGGAGAUACUGUCUGGCUCGAGGCCGGGAGAGGUGAGAGGUACUUCAGGGGUAGGGGUGAAAUCUUGUAAUCCUUGAAGGACCACCAGUGGCGAAGGCGUCUCACCAGAACGGACCUGACGGCAAGGGACGAAAGCUAGGGGCACGAACCGGAUUAGAUACCCGGGUAGUCCCAGCCGUAAACGAUGCUCGCUAGGUGUCA
rnacentral:rRNA from 1 species